rnacentral:hammerhead_ribozyme from 1 species
AUCCAGCUGAGGAGUUCCAAAUAGGGUAAAACGUGCGUCCUGGAU